GAUGAACGCUGGCGGCGUGCCUAAUACAUGCAAGUCGAACGAAUUUUUUUUGGAAAAUGAGUGGCGAACGGGUGAGUAAUACAUAGGUAACCUGCCCCUGUGCGGGGGAUAACAGGAGGAAACUCCUGCUAAUUCCGCAUAGCCAUGAGCACCGCAUGGAGCUCAUGCCAAAUAUCCUUUUGGGGAUAGCGCAGGGAUGGACCUAUGGCGCAUUAGCUUGUUGGCGGGGCAACGGCCCCCCAAGGCAACGAUGCGUAGCCGGCCUGAGAGGGCGGACGGCCACAAUGGGACUGAGACACGGUCCAGACUCCUACGGGAGGCAGCAGUGGGGAAUAUUGCACAAUGGGCGCAAGCCUGAAAGGGCCAUGCCGCGUGUGUGAAGAAGGCCUUCGGGUUCUUAUGAGGGAUU
rnacentral:rRNA from 1 species